rnacentral:lncRNA from 1 species
CGCUGAUCUUCCAAAGCUUCUCUCUCAUGACACCUCUUGGAAGGAUGUCUGUUUUGCAAGAGGCAAAGGACAGAGGAGAUCUUAGAUGCUUGAAAAGCACAGGAGGAUUCUGAGAAGUGUGGACAGACAGAGUUAUGAUGCUGCCAGAGGAGUAACACCAUGCCAGGCAUUACUGGCCAAUGAAGACCCACCUGACAGCAAUCCCUGGAUGCUCUGGAAAAGAAAUUGGGCCAUACCUCCUAGACUGCACUGGAUCCAACUUACUCCAUUUCAACUGACACUCCAACUAGAGCUUCGAGUCCUGACUUCAAUCAAGUUGAGGAUUUCAACCUAGAUCUUCAGUCAAACAAAUCCCGUCUAACAUGGACUGGAUAUAAUCCGUUGGAGACUUUCACUAUACUAACAUUUUCUUCCCAUAGGACCCCACAAGGCUACCAUCGUCCCAUUUCAGCAGGAAGUAAAUUGUAGGAUGCUACACCCCUGUUCCCCAUUAUUGUCUAUUAGGGUAGUGUAAGCCUAGUUAGGAAUAACUUUCCUAUUGUUUAGGGUUGGAAUUGGAAGGAGGUGUUCAAGUUCAGAUGACUUUAGGGUUUAGCUGAAAUAGACAUAGUUAGGAUGUGCAAUAACAGAUUAUUGUAUCUUCUUGUAUUUCACCUUUAUGAUUGUUAAUUUUGGAUAUUUUACACUAUUAAGUUUUAAUCCCCUUUUAGACUAAAAGGGGAAUUAUAGGGCGACACCGUAGCCACACUUCCUAAGGGCUGGCUACAGGUGUGCCUGACCACGCCUAUCAAGGCAUGGUCAAGGUGAGGUCAGGGUGACGUGGGAGGGCUUCUUAAGCAACCACAAGCCCACGGAACCAGCUCGUCCCCUUCGGCUGCCCCUUCUCUCUGGCCUCCCUGCCUUGCUGCCCCUGGGUACACUCUGG